GUGAGGAAUAUUGGUCAAUGGACGAGAGUCUGAACCAGCCAAGUCGCGUGAAGGAAGACGGUUCUAUGAAUUGUAAACUUCUUUUGUGCAGGAAUAAAGUGGGUUACGUGUAACCUUUUGUAUGUACUGUACGAAUAAGGAUCGGCUAACUCCGUGCCAGCAGCCGCGGUAAUACGGAGGAUCCGAGCGUUAUCCGGAUUUAUUGGGUUUAAAGGGUGCGUAGGUGGAUUGAUAAGUCAGCGGUGAAAGUUUGCAGCUUAACUGUAAAAUUGCCGUUGAAACUGUCGGUCUUGAGUGCAAAUGAGGUAGGCGGAAUGUGUUGUGUAGCAGUGAAAUGCUUAGAUAUAACACAGAACUCCGAUUGCGAAGGCAGCUUACUGGGAUGCAACUGACACUGAUGCACGAAAGCGUGGGUAUCAAACAGGAUUAGAAACCCCGGUAGUCC
rnacentral:rRNA from 1 species